GAUAAACGCUGGCGGCGCACAUAAGACAUGCAAGUUGAACGGACUUAAUCGAAAUAUUUAUAUUUUGAAGCGGUUAGUGGCGGACUGGUGAGUAACGCGUAAGGAACCUGCCUAUUAGAGGGGAAUAACAGUGAGAAAUCAUUGCUAAUACCGCAUAUGCCAUAGAUAUCACAUGAUAACAGUGGGAAAGGAGCAAUCCGCUAAUAGAUGGCCUUGCGUCUGAUUAGAUAGUUGGUGGGGUAACGGCCUACCAAGUCGACGAUCAGUAGCCGGACUGAGAGGUUGAACGGCCACAUUGGGACUGAGAUACGGCCCAGACUCCUACGGGAGGCAGCAGUCGGGAAUAUUGCGCAAUGGAGGAAACUCUGACGCAAUGACGCCGCGUAUAGGAAGAAGGUUUUCGGAUUGUAAACUAUUGUCGUUAGGGAAGAGAAAGGACAGUACCUAAGGAGGAAGCUCCGGCUAACUACGUG
rnacentral:rRNA from 1 species